ensembl:snRNA U2 U2 spliceosomal RNA
AUCGCUUCUCGGCCUUUUGGCUAAGAUCAUGUGUAGUAUCUGUCCUUAUCAGUUUAAUAAUCACCUCCUAGGAGCUGCUCCUAGAGGAAGGAGUUCAGUCUUUUGCUUGUGAUAUGAAUUGCAAUGUUUCUCCUGGUUUGCUAUUUGGGAAUUCAGUAGGGGAUAUAAAAUA